AUGGACGCGCCUCCUUCGCCGCCCGGACCAAUCGUCCUCAACCCCGCCGAGCUCCAUCGCGCCCCCGCGCCCUUAAGUGUCUUGCGCACCUCCGCCGUCCAUCUUCUCAGCCGUGCCGCCGUCGUUUUGCAGGAGCUCCGCCUCCCUAGCGAGAACAGCCACCACCGGAGUUGUUCUUCCUCCAUGCGCCGUCGUCGAGUUGCCAUGGUCUCGACCUCUUGUGCCUCCUCCCUCCAGCGCCGCCUUGCUGCUCCCUCCCGUGCACAAGCCCCUCCUCUGCCAUGGCCUUCCUCCUCCUGUGUCUGCAGCGAUGAUGUGCUGCUGCAGCUGCUCUUCCUGCGCGCCGCCUCCCUCGCUGAGCCCCGUGGCCUGGCCCUUCUACGGCAACUAGCGCCCCUCCAUGGAUGA
rnacentral:rRNA from 1 species